AUGGAGAAGAAGAAGGUGGCCGUCUCCAAGGUGUGCCACGGCCACUCGCGGCCGGUGGUCGACCUGUUCUACAGCCCCGUCACGCCCGACGGCUACUUCCUCAUCAGCGCCAGCAAGGACUCAAAUCCUAUGCUUCGUAAUGGUGAUACUGGAGAUUGGAUUGGGACUUUUGAAGGUCAUAAGGGUGCAGUUUGGAGCUCUUGUCUAGACACAAAUGCUCUCCGUGCUGCCUCCGGUUCUGCGGACUUCUCAGCCAAAAUAUGGGAUGCACUAACAGGAAAUGAGCUACAUUCGUUUGAGCACAAGCAUAUAGUCCGUGCAUGUGCCUUUUCUGAGGAUACACACAUGUUGCUCACUGGAGGUGUGGAGAAGAUUUUGCGUAUAUAUGACAUGAAUCGUCCAGAUGCAGCUCCAAGAGAACUUGACAAAACACCUGGUUCUGUACGAACUGUUGCUUGGCUUCACAGUGACCAAUCUAUUCUAAGUUCCUGCUCUGAUAUGGGUGGAGUGAGGUUAUGGGAUGUGAGAAGUGGAAAAAUUGUCCAAACUCUUGAAACCAAGGCACCUGUCACCAGUGCAGAAGUAAGCCAGGACGGCAGGUUCAUCACUACAGCUGAUGGGUCAAGUGUUAAAUUUUGGGAUGCGAACCAUUUUGGGCUUGUUAAAAGCUAUGAUAUGUCAUGCACUGUGGAGUCAGCUUCACUUGAACCAAAGUCUGGGAGUAAGUUCAUCACUGGAGGGGAAGAUAUGUGGGUUCAUGUAUAUGAUUUCUUCACUGGUGAAGAAAUAGCCUGCAACAAAGGUCAUCAUGGCCCCGUCCACUGCGUCCGGUUCGCGCCUGUUGGCGAAUCAUACGCAUCAGGAUCAGAAGACGGCACCAUCCGGAUCUGGCCGCUGAACCCCGCAAACACCGAAGACCCCGAGGCACCCAACGCCAACGGCAAACCAAAGUCCGCCGCGGUGGCAAAUGAGGUCGCCCGUAAAAUCGAAGGCUUCCACAUCACCAAGGAGGGGCAGACGGAGGCGUAG
rnacentral:rRNA from 1 species